AACGAACGCUGGCGGCAUGCCUAACACAUGCAAGUCGAACGAACCCUUCGGGGUUAGUGGCGCACGGGUGCGUAACGCGUGGGAAUCUGCCCUUUGCUUCGGAAUAACAGUUAGAAAUGACUGCUAAUACCGGAUGAUGUCGCAAGACCAAAGAUUUAUCGGCAAAGGAUGAGCCCGCGUAGGAUUAGGUAGUUGGUGGGGUAAAGGCCUACCAAGCCGACGAUCCUUAGCUGGUCUGAGAGGAUGAUCAGCCACACUGGGACUGAGACACGGCCCAGACUCCUACGGGAGGCAGCAGUGGGGAAUAUUGGACAAUGGGCGCAAGCCUGAUCCAGCAAUGCCGCGUGAGUGAUGAAGGCCUUCGGGUCGUAAAGCUCUUUUACCAGGGAUGAUAAUGACAGUACCUGGAGAAUAAGCUCCGGCUAACUCCGUGCCAGCCGCCGCAGUAA
rnacentral:rRNA from 1 species